rnacentral:rRNA from 2 species
CACGGCGGUCACAGCAAGAGAGCCACACCUGGUCUCAUUCCGAACCCAGCAGUAAAGCCUCUUUGCGAUUCGGGUUGUACUACCCUCGGUGGGAAUCCCGAGACGCUGCCGGCC